UUGAACGCUGGCGGCAUGCUUUACACAUGCAAGUCGAACGGUAACAGGUUAAGCUGACGAGUGGCGAACGGGUGAGUAAUGCAUCGGAACGUGCCCGAUCGUGGGGGAUAACGCAGCGAAAGCUGCGCUAAUACCGCAUACGACCUGAGGGUGAAAGGGGGGGAUCGCAAGACCUCUCGCGUUUGGAGCGGCCGAUAUCGGAUUAGCUAGUUGGUGAGGUAAAGGCUCACCAAGGCGACGAUCCGUAGCUGGUCUGAGAGGACGACCAGCCACACUGGAACUGAGACACGGCCCAGACUCCUACGGGAGGCAGCAGUGGGGAAUUUUGGACAAUGGGCGCAAGCCUGAUCCAGCCAUGCCGCGUGAGUGAAGAAGGCCUUCGGGUUGUAAAGCUCUUUCAGACGGAAAGAAAUCGGGCGCGUGAAUAGCGUGCCUGGAUGACGGUACUGUCAGAAGAAGCACCGGCUAACUACGU
rnacentral:rRNA from 1 species